UACAGAGGUCCCAAGCGUUACUGAGAAUCACUGGGUUUAAAGGGUGCGUAGGUGGUCCGUUAAGUCAGUUGUAAAAUCCCCGGGCUCAACUCGGGAACUGCUUCUGAUACUGGCGGACUUGAGGCCAGUAGGGGUCACUAGAACUGACGGUGGAGCGGUGAAAUGCGUAGAUAUCGUCAGGAAUGCCGGUGGUGAAGACGGGUGACUGGGCUGGUUCUGACACUGAGGCACGAAAGCGUGGGGAGCGAACGGG
rnacentral:rRNA from 1 species